UACGAAGGGGGCUAGCGUUGCUCGGAAUCACUGGGCGUAAAGCGCACGUAGGCGGAUUGUUAAGUCAGGGGUGAAAUCCUGGAGCUCAACUCCAGAACUGCCUCCGAUACUGGCAGUCUCGAGUGCGGGAGAGGUGAGUGGAAUUCCCAGUGUAGAGGUGAAAUUCGUAGAUAUUGGGAAGAACACCAGUGGCGAAGGCGGCUCACUGGCCCGUAACUGACGCUGAGGCGCGAAAGCGUGGGGAGCAAACAGG
rnacentral:rRNA from 1 species